AAUUUUAAUUUCUUUGAUUAAUGCAAAGCAGGGUUGGGACUACGCAAGGAAAGCGAGGCAUCUAGGGAGCGAAAUUUAAGGAGGCCCUCGUUCUCAGGGGCCGACCCUGCACUUGCAUGAUGCAGAAAAAUUAUAUAAAGAACAUGGCCAAUUACCUUGGAGAAUAUGCUUCUACACAGGUUUUUUGCACAUAGGACCCCAGUUGUUGGAGGAGGUCAUCUAGAGGAUGUGACCACCAGUUGACUCCAAGUCUGGACCUAGACAAUCAGGAAUUUUGAAAAACUGUGGAAAUCUUGAAGAGGAAAAAAAAAACCACUUGUAUUCCUGUCAACCAGCAUCCCAGCAUUAAAUUUUCUUCCAUGUUUUGAUAUAUUUUCUCCUGAGCUUUUUUAAUUCAUGA